CAAGUCGAACGCGAAAGUUCCCUUCGGGGGACAAGUAGAGUGGCGCACGGGUGAGUAACACGUAGGUAAUCUACCUUCGGGUGGGGAAUAACAACCGGAAACGGUUGCUAAUACCGCAUAAUGCAGCGGCACCUAAUGGUGACAGUUGUUAAAGCGGGGGAUCGAAAGAUCUCGCGCCUGAAGAGGAGCCUGCGGCGGAUUAGCUAGUUGGUAGGGUAACGGCCUACCAAGGCGACGAUCCGUAGCCGGCCUGAGAGGGCGGUCGGCCACACUGACACUGACAUACGGGUCAGACUCCUACGGGAGGCAGCAGUCGGGAAUUUUGGGCAAUGGGCGAAAGCCUGACCCAGCAACGCCGCGUGAAGGAUGAAAUCCCUCGGGAUGUAAACUUCGCAAGAACGGGAAGAAUAAGUCUAUGUUAAUACCAUAGGCGAUGACGGUACCGUUUGUAAGCUCCGGCUAACUCCGUGCCAGCAGCCGCGGUAAUACGGGGGGAGCAAGCGUUGUUCGGAUUUACUGGGCGUAAAGGGCGCGUAGGCGGCCACCGCAAGUCAGUUGUGAAAUCUCCGAGCUUAACUCGGAAAGGUCAACUGAUACUGCGGGGCUAGAGUGCGGAAGGGGCAACUGGAAUUCUUGGUGUAGCGGUGAAAUGCGUAGAUAUCAAGAGGAACACCUGCGGCGAAGGCGGGUUGCUGGGCCGACACUGACGCUGAGGCGCGAAAGCUAGGGGAGCGAACGGGAUUAGAUACCCCGGUAGUCCUAGCCUUAAACGAUGAAUGCUUGGUGUCUGGGGUUAUAUAGUCCCC
rnacentral:rRNA from 1 species